rnacentral:rRNA from 2 species
UGGGGAAUUUUGGACAAUGGGCGAAAGCCUGAUCCAGCCAUGCCGCGUGAGUGAAGAAGGCCUUCGGGUUGUAAAGCUCUUUUAGUCGGAAAGAAAGAGUUGCAAUGAAUAAUUGUGAUUUAUGACGGUACCGACAGAAAAAGCACCGGCUAACUACGUGCCAGCAGCCGCGGUAAUACGUAGGGUGCGAGCGUUAAUCGGAAUUACUGGGCGUAAAGGGUGCGCAGGCGGUCUUGCAAGUCAGAUGUGAAAGCCCCGGGCUUAACCUGGGAAUUGCGUUUGAAACUACAAGGCUAGAGUGCAGCAGAGGGGAGUGGAAUUCCAUGUGUAGCAGUGAAAUGCGUAGAGAUGUGGAAGAACACCGAUGGCGAAGGCAGCUCCCUGGGUUGACACUGACGCUCAUGCACGAAAGCGUGGGGAGCAAACA